UACGAAGGGGGCUAGCGUUGUUCGGAUUCACUGGGCGUAAAGGGUGCGUAGGUGGCCAGGUAAGUUUGGUGUGAAAGCUCGGAGCUUAACUCCGAAAAGUCAUUGAAUACUAUCUGGCUGGAGGGUCGGAGGGGAGACUGGAAUUCUCGGUGUAGCAGUGAAAUGCGUAGAUAUCGAGAGGAACACCAGUGGCGAAGGCGAGUCUCUGGACGACUCCUGACACUGAGGCACGAAAGCUAGGGGAGCAAACAGG
rnacentral:rRNA from 1 species